GAUGAACGCUGGCGGCGUGCUUAACACAUGCAAGUCGAAGGGAGUGGCGAACGGGUGAGUAACACGUGAGUAACCUGCCCUUUUCUUUGGGAUAAGCCUGGGAAACUGGGUCUAAUACUGGAUGGAUUGGGAUGGGCUCGCGGCUUAUCAGCUUGUUGGUGGGGUGAUGGCUUCCCAAGGCUUUGACGGGUAGCCGGCCUGAGAGGGUGGUCGGUCACACUGGGGCUGAGAGACGGCCCAGACUCAUAAGGGAGGAAGCAGUGAGGGAUAUUGCACAAUGGACGAAAGUCAGAGGCAGCGACGUCGUGUGGGGGAUGAAGGCCUUCGGGUUGUAAACUCCUUUCGCCCGCGGAAUGGUAGUGGGUAAAGAAGCACCGGCUAACUCCAUGCCAGCUGCCGCGGUAAUAC
rnacentral:rRNA from 1 species